GACGGAGGAUGCAAGUGUUAUCCGGAAUCACUGGGCGUAAAGGGCGCGUAGGCGGGCAGGUAAGUCCGUGGUGAAAUCUCUGAGCUUAACUCAGAAACUGCCAUGGAUACUAUUUGUCUUGAAUGCUGUGGAGGUAAGCGGAAUAUGUCAUGUAGCGGUGAAAUGCUUAGAUAUGACAUAGAACACCAAUUGCGAAGGCAGCUUACUACACAAAUAUUGACGCUGAGGCACGAAAGCGUGGGGAGCAAACAGG
rnacentral:rRNA from 1 species